UAGCCUAGAUAGUCUGUCUGGGCCACAGUGUUAGGCCUACAAUCCCCUCCCUCUUCUCAGUCGUCAGAACCCACCAUCGAAACAAGCACCCUCCGCGCCGCCGGCCGCCGGCCGCCGUGUCCGUUUCAGCCUCCGAAUCCCCCAUCCCCCGUUGCCUCGCGUUCCCAAGCCACAUGAUAUCCCCCAACCUCCCCCUCCGGCUCCGCCACCUCCACCGCCUUCUCGCCGCCGCGCCCUCGUCCUCCCCCGCCGCCGCAUACUACUCGCGCGCAUCCUCCCCGCCUUCAAACCGCGCUCAGGCCCCGCCCCCGCCCCCGCCCCCGCGGCGCCGUCUCCCGGACCUCCCGGCGCGACGGUUCUCCUCCGGGCACGUCCUCCUCCCCACCAACCUCCAGGAGGAGCACGUCGCGUCUCUGUCCGACAGGAUCUACGACGCGGUGACGGAGACAGAGGAGGGCUCCAACGAGGGCACGGAGGCCGCCCUCGACGCGCUGGGCGCCGAGCUGACCACCUCGCUCGUGGCCGACGUGAUGCACCGCCUGCGCUACGAGGAGAAGCUGGCCUUCCGCUUCUUCGCCUGGGCGUCCCAGCAGGACAACUACGAGCACGAGCACCGGACGUACAACGACAUGAUCGACAUCCUCUCCGGCACGCGGUACAAGUCCCGCCAGUUCGGCGUCCUCUGCGACGUGCUCGACCACAUGAAGCGCCACGGCACGAGGUCGGUGCCCGUCGAGGACCUGCUGGGCAUCCUGCGCGCCUACACCGAGAAGCACCUCACCAACCUCAGGAAGCUGGCAAAGAAGCGGCGGGUGCGGAUGCGCACGCCGCCGGAGACCGACGCGCUCAACAUCCUCCUGGACGCGUUCUGCAAGUGCGGGAUGGUCAGGGAGGCGGAGACGGUGUUUGGUCGCGUGAAGAAGAAGCUGCAGGGAAAUGCCGAGACCUACAGCAUCCUCUUCUUUGGGUGGUGCCGCGCCAGGGACCCCAAGAAGGCCAUGAAGGUGCUCGAGGAAAUGAUUCAGAUGAAGCACACCCCAGAGAACUUCACGUACAUUGCUGCUAUUGACUCGUUCUGCAGCGCUGGUUUGAUCUCGGAGGCAAGAGAGUUGUUUGAGUUCAUGAGGACCGAGGGGUCGAAGAUAUCCUCUCCCACUGCUAAGGUAUAUGCUAUUAUGAUUGUUGCGCUAGCCAAAGCUGAUCGGAUGGACGAGUGCUUUGAGCUGAUUUCAGAUAUGAUUAAACGUGGCUGCAUGCCUGAUGUAUCAACCUUUAAAGAUUUGAUUGAAGGCAUGUGCUUGGUGGAUAGACUCGAUGCUGCCUACUGCAUUUUGGAGGAGAUGGGGAAGGCUGGGUUUCCUCCUGACAUUGUCACUUACAAUUGCUUUCUUGAGGUGCUUUGUAGUCUUCAGAAGGCUGAUGAUGCGCUCAAACUUGCCGAGAGGAUGAUAGAAGCACACUGUGAGCCCAGUGUUCAUACUUACAAUAUGCUGAUGAUGAUGUUUUUUGGGAUGAGAGAGCCACACAGGGCACUCGAUAUUUGGACUGAAAUGGACAAGAGAGGAUGUCGGCGUGCUGUUGAUACAUACGAAAUAAUGAUUGAUGGGCUGUUUGAUUGUGGAAGAACGGAAGACGCGACCACUCUUCUAGAUGAAGUAAUAAACCAUGACAUGAAACUGUCGUACAAGAAGUUUGAUUCUAUCAUGCUGCAAUUAUCAGCUGCUGGCAACCUUGGCGCAAUACAUCGGCUUUCAGAGCAUAUGAGAAAAUUUUACAAUGUUGCAAUGUCAAGACGUUUUUCGAUCACACAGAAGAAGAAGAGCAUUGGCAUUAGAAGGAGAUGAGUUCUGCAAGAUUUAUUGUUAGCACGAAUAGUCAAGAGCGUACAUGAGGGUGGUUGAUACAAGUCUGCACAUUUUGUCUGAGCAAUUUGCAGUGAAAGCAGCAGUGUAUGAGCAGCAGUAUACUCUGGAGUCUCGAGAGCCCAGCUUGUCUGGGAACAUGUUACUAGCAGACUUAUUUCAAGCAGAAUCUUACUCAUCCAGUUAUUAGAACAGAAAUGAGGGGGGUUCCGGUUUUAAAAAGAAGAGGUGGCAGCCAGUGUUGUUAAGAACAGAGUGGGCAAAAUUUCGUGGCCGGGCUUGGUUUCCUAGCCCCAUAUCAGCAGUGCUGUGUGACCUGUGAGCAACUAGUCAGGUCGGCGCAGGACGGCAUAGGUGCAUGGCAUAGAAUAGCUGCAUGUUGAGAACCUGGAAUGUAACGACUCGGAAGAAAUUUUGGGACUGAGAGCCCCUGCGUCGUACGGCCGCGCAAGCAAAUUAUCUGAACUCGUGGUUGCCAUGCCAUGCCAUGGCCCGUCCUCCGACGAGGUGGGUAUGCCAAAGUUUUCAUGAGUUCCGAGGUAGAAAUACGGUUUUUUUUUAGGGAAGGUAGAAAUACGGCUGGUUCUGACGGAAAAGAAACCUCUGCCAAGUGAUCUCAGUUUCCAUCUCAUCAGAGCCGGCCCUUGGACAGGGGGAGAAGGGUUUGGCCCACGCCUAAAUUGAGGCCAGUUAUUUCAACAUAAGCCCAUUCUGUAACAUAUAUUGAUAUGCAGUCAUGUCUUUGUCCUUACAUACAACUAACAGAAAAACAAAACAUCCAAGAAACCCUGGUCUAUUAUUGUGGAGACAUGGAACCACAACCUGAGAUGGGUACCCUAAUUUCCUGAAAUUGGAUCAACUGUUCCAGCCGUUACUUAGGAAUUCGCCUUUUUUAGGGACCUUUUCUCUGUCCUUGUUGGACCCAAGCACAAUACAUGUAAUUGUAGCAUUUUUAAGAAACUUAUUUCAGUUAAAAUUAGCAGAAAGCUACUUGAGCCAGUCAGAACAUAGAUUGGAUCUGACGAGCCUGUUUAUAUUCAGCAAAAUAUGUCAUA